UCGGACAAAAGCAAGUGCUAGCGCUAAGACUAAAAAAAAACAAGAGAUGCAAGGUACAGGCGUAAUAAAAGGGAAAGGAUAAUAGACAUUGGUAUUCAGUGUGAUCGAUGGAGAAGAGUUAAAGAAGCUACUGGGAUUGAAAAGGACGAGAAAAUGAUGGGAAUAUUGAUCGAUGCAACUACUUCUGAACUAGAGAGCUUCAACAAUCAUCUUUUGAUACGCUCCAAACCAAAGCGAAAUGCUUUCAGCUGUGCAGGUGUCAGUUAGCAGCAAUAGAUUAUUCAAAACACUUGAAUCGUCCUGUUUUGUUGGACAAAGAAGGAAAUGAGAGGAGAAAAAAGGUGUACUCAAAAGCUGCUUGUAAUUGGAGCACAAGGCCUGUGAAAAAAACAUACAUAACCGGUUUGAUCACUGAAGUUAUAAAUGAAUUCACCAUAGGCAAGAAAAGAAUAAGUGGCAAAUGUGAACAGCUGCCUGAAGACUCCAAAAGAAUUAGGUCAACUAUAGCCCCCGUCACCCCUCCACCUACAUCAAUACUUGGAGAUCAGCAUGUCUCUAGAUUGAGAAAAGCGAAAAAAUGAAUUGUUGCCCAAGACGUGUUUGAUAUUCAUUUGAAGUUGACGCAGAAGUUAUCUUUGUUAGAUAACUAUUAAGUUUCACAUCUUUAGUGUAAAUAUAAUUUUAGAAGUGUUUUGAAAAUGUACAAUCUUACAUUAUGUUAUAAAUAAUGAAUGCUCUUGGUUGUACAAUGCAAUGACAUUUUUUAGGAAGUUUUAAUAUUGAAUUUAGCAUAAAAUAUUUUUUUUAUGUUAUAUUUUGUGCGUUUUUUAUCAAUACAUUUUUAUGCUCCCACAAAAUUUAUUUUGGGGGGAGCAUAUAGUUGCCGCUUCGUCUGUCCGUCCGUGUGUCCGUCUGUGCACAAUUUUUGUCCAGGCUAUUUCUCAGAAAGUAAUGACCGGAAUUCAAUGAAACUUUAUGGGAAGCUUCACUACCAAGAGGAGAUGUGCAUAUUAUCAGCCGGUUCUCUUCAGAUGAUUUUUCACAGAGUUAUGGCCCUUUGAAAUUUUCCAUUGUACAUAUAGUGCAAUUCUUGUCCGGGCUAUUUCUCAGCAACUAAUGACUGGAAUUCUAUGAAAGUUUAUGGGAAGCUUCACUACCAAGAGGAGAUGUGCAUAUUAUCAGCCGGUUCUCAUCGGAUGAUUUUUCACAGAGUUAUGGCCCUUUGAAAUUUUCCAUUGCACAUAUAGUGCAAUGCUUGUCCGAGCUAUUUCUCAGCAACUUAUUACAGUAAUUCAGAGUUAUGGCCCUUUGAAAUUUUCUAUAAACUGUACAUAUAGUGCAUUUCUUGUCCAGGCUAUUUCUCCCCAACUACUGACCGGAAUUCAAUGAAGCUUUAAUCCAUCCAUCGUAUAAUUUUGUCCACAGUUAUGCCCCUUAAGACGUUUCCUUUUAUCUGAAUAUAUAGUACAAUAUUGUGACAAAAAAACACUUUUGGGGAGCAUCACCAGUCUACACCGGUUUCUUGUUACACAUGUAAAAAACACAAUUUUUCUUACAAAAUGUUUAGUUUUUUGUUUGAUUAUCGAUAUGUGUUUUUCAUUGCCUUCUUUAUUACCUGUAUUUAAUAAACCAUUGUAGUCAAUGUC